CACAUCAGACAGCUCACAACUGCCUGUAACUCCAGCUCUCCAGUGGAUCUGAUAAUCUCUUCUGGUGCCCAUGAGGACUUGCACUCAGAUGAAGUGUGCCCUCUGCCUUUCCACCUCUGCCCAGAGUCGAAGCAGCACGUGAUUGGUGCAGCAGGAAUGAGGGCAGUCUAAAGAGACACUUGCUUCCCCAUCCGACUGGCAGACAACCGAGAGAGUGGACCCCUCCAGGCAAUGUGAAUCUCCCCAGGAAUCUCACCCUGGGAGAAGGAAGAGGCACCAGACAGAGGACACCUCCUGGGAAGAGACACACAGAGCUAUGAUAGCUUCCACAGUACUGGGGCUGGUUUACAGUUCAGAGAUCCUGUCCAUUGUGGUCGUGGUGUGACGUGGCAGCAUGCAGGCAGACAUGAUGCUGGAGAAGGAGCUGACAGCUCUACUUCUGGAUCCUCAGGCAG